rnacentral:lncRNA from 1 species
AGUGGUGGCGCACACCUUUAAUCCCAGCACUUGGGAGGCAGAGGCAAGUGAAUUUCUGAGUUCAAGGCCAGCCUGGUCUACAGAGUGAGUUCCAGGAUAGCCAGGGCUACACAGAGAAACCCUGUCUCGAAAAAAACAAAAAACAAAAAACAAAAAAAACAAAAAAACCCCAAAAAAACAAAAAGAAGAAGAAGAAGUCCUGACUGUGUGUUGAGAAAGGGAGAAGAACCCGUGUUUAUUGAGUAGGCCCAGUGCUUUGCCUGCAGUCUCAUUUACUAGCAGUAUGCUGUUUGGCGCUUACUAGCGAUGUUCAGAUGAGGAAAACUGAGUCCAAAACUUGUUCCAGGAGUAAGGAGCCGGAAUUCUGGAUCCAGCUUCUGGUGAGAGGAGUGAGUGACUUAGGCGUAUGCAGCCCACAUUGUUGGGGUGAGAAGAGCCACCUGAGGCUUGGCUGAAGAGCUACAGGAAGGUUCCUGUAAGCAAAAGCUUUUGGUCAGGUUUUCCCGAAGCCCACUGAGCGAGGAACUGGUAGCCUCUUGGCUUCAUGGGGAGCGAUGUGGUUUGAACAAGAGGCCCCAUCUGGGCUGGUGAGCUCUGGAUUCCCUAGCACUGGAACGUUCCUCCCUGCAUCUUGCCCUUUGCAACAGAUGGAGAACAGUGGGCGAAAGGAAGGGAGUCUAAAAGUGCCGAGUGGAUCCCACACGCACCACCUCGCUACUUGCAGAGCCUGCGUGUGACAGCGUGUGACAGGUUAUUUCUUAUUUGUCAUCAUGAGCUGAUGGAAGAGGACCCUCCUUAACUGUGUUCAGACUCCUGGCUGUGGACACAGCUCUGACUAUAUCAUCAUGUCACACCCCAGCUCAAAACUAGUGAUGCCUUGGACCAAGUUUCCU